UCAUGGGAUGCUACAUUGGUAAUGGUCGG
rnacentral:tRNA from 1 species